UACGGGGGGAGCAAGCGUUGUUCGGAUUUACUGGGCGUAAAGGGCGGGUAGGCGGCCACCGCAAGUCACUUGUGAAAUCUCCGGGCUUAACCCGGAGCGGUCAAGUGAUACUGUCGUGCUAGAGUGCGGAAGGGGCUACUGGAAUUCUCGGUGUAGCGGUGAAAUGCGUAGAUAUCGAGAGGAACACCUGCGGCGAAGGCGGCAUCCCUGGACCGGUAUUGACGCUGAGGCGCGAAAAGCCAGGGGAGCAAACGGG
rnacentral:rRNA from 1 species